rnacentral:rRNA from 1 species
UAGGGAAUCUUCCGCAAUGGACGAAAGUCUGACGGAGCAACGCCGCGUGAGUGAUGAAGGUUUUCGGAUCGUAAAGCUCUGUUGUUAGGGAAGAACAAGUGCGAGAGUAACUGCUCGCACCUUGACGGUACCUAACCAGAAAGCCACGGCUAACUACGUGCCAGCAGCCGCGGUAAUACGUAGGUGGCAAGCGUUGUCCGGAAUUAUUGGGCGUAAAGGGCUCGCAGGCGGUUUCUUAAGUCUGAUGUGAAAGCCCCCGGCUCAACCGGGGAGGGUCAUUGGAAACUGGGAAACUUGAGUGCAGAAGAGGAGAGUGGAAUUCCACGUGUAGCGGUGAAAUGCGUAGAGAUGUGGAGGAACACCAGUGGCGAAGGCGACUCUCUGGUCUGUAACUGACGCUGAGGAGCGAAAGCGUGGGGAGCGAACAGGAUUAGAUACCCUGGUAGUCCACGCCGUAAACGAUGAGUGCUAAGUGUUAGGGGGUUUCCGCCCCUUAGUG